rnacentral:pre_miRNA from 1 species
GUUGAGCGAGGCUUAUAGAAUUUUGAUUGUUGCUCUGAGAGUUAAUAUAAUUUCAAUGAUAACUGUCUAACAACCAUCAAAUUUCAAAGCGAUGCUUGUCAUCG